UCGCGCGCGACAAGGCAAGUUGUGCUAAAAGGUCUGGUCCAUAACUGAUCGCAUGGAAGCUACACGAAGGGCCAGAGGGAGGAACAUUGGGUUUUAAGAGGGCAAGCCAGGAGUGUUUCUAGUUUUUAAGGGCAGUAAUACUAAAUAGAUACAGGGUUUGAGACCGAAUGUCAUUUAAUUCAAUAAAUUUUAAUGUAUAUACAUAAAA